rnacentral:tRNA from 1 species
CGGGAAUUAGCGCAGUCCGGCUAGCGCGUUCGGUUCGGGUCCGAAAGGUCGCGGGUUCAAAUCCCGCAUUCCCGA